rnacentral:rRNA from 1 species
UUGAAUUGAAGAGUUUGAUCAUGGCUCAGAUUGAACGCUGGCGGCAGGCUUAACACAUGCAAGUCGAACGGUAGCAGGAGAAAGCUUGCUUUCUUGCUGACGAGUGGCGGACGGGUGAGUAAUGCUUGGGAAUCUGGCUUAUGGAGGGGGAUAACGACGGGAAACUGUCGCUAAUACCGCGUAAUAUCGAAAGAUUAAAGUGUGGGACCUUCGGGCCACAUGCCAUAGGAUGAGCCCAAGUGGGAUUAGGUAGUUGGUGGGGUAAAGGCCUACCAAGCCUGCGAUCUCUAGCUGGUCUGAGAGGAUGACCAGCCACACUGGAACUGAGACACGGUCCAGACUCCUACGGGAGGCAGCAGUGGGGAAUAUUGCGCAAUGGGGGGAACCCUGACGC